ACUGUUGUAUAUUUAUGGUUACUUCUUUCAGAUCCCUUUCUUGGUGUGUCUUGAUGUUUUAUAUUGGCUAAAGACAAGAUAUGUCUGCAAAUGCUGGUUUCAUGUCACAUGGCUUAUUCGAGACUAGAUCUACAAAAAACACUGCAGAUUUUGUUACCAUCAACUUGCAUUAUACAACUGACAGACUGAAACGGUUGGACUCAAAAAUCUACAUUUGUGUUUCACUGGAGAAACAAAGUCACCUACAUCUUGGAUGGCCUGGGGACUACCUGACCUGUUCCUGUUAAGAGCUAGUCACUCUUUGUGGAAUGUUCCUG